rnacentral:piRNA from 1 species
CUUAAGCCCCUACCCUGGAAC